rnacentral:rRNA from 1 species
AGCGAACGCUGGCGGCAGGCCUAACACAUGCAAGUCGAACGAACUCUUCGGAGUUAGUGGCGGACGGGUGAGUAACACGUGGGAACGUGCCUUUUGGUUCGGAAUAACUCAGGGAAACUUGUGCUAAUACCGAAUGUGCCCUUCGGGGGAAAGAUUUAUCGCCAUUAGAGCGACCCGCGUCUGAUUAGCUAGUUGGUGAGGUAACGGCUCACCAAGGCGACGAUCAGUAGCUGGUCUGAGAGGAUGACCAGCCACACUGGGACUGAGACACGGCCCAGACUCCUACGGGAGGCAGCAGUGGGGAAUCUUGCGCAAUGGGCGAAAGCCUGACGCAGCCAUGCCGCGUGAAUGAUGAAGGUCUUAGGAUUGUAAAAUUCUUUCACCGGGGACGAUAAUGACGGUACCCGGAGAAGAAGCCCCGGCUAACUUCGUG